rnacentral:rRNA from 1 species
ACGAACGCUGGCGGCGUGCUUAACACAUGCAAGUCGAACGGAAAGGCUCCAGCUUGCUGGAGUACUCGAGUGGCGAACGGGUGAGUAACACGUGGGUGAUCUGCCCUGCACUUCGGGAUAAGCCUGGGAAACUGGGUCUAAUACCGGAUAGGACCGCACUUUGGUGUGUGUGGUGGAAAGGUUUUUCUGGUGUGGGAUGAGCUCGCGGCCUAUCAGUUUGUUGGUGGGGUAAUGGCCUACCAAGACGGCGACGGGUAGCCGGCCUGAGAGGGUGGACGGUCACAUUGGGACUGAGAUACGGCCCAGACUCCUACGGGAGGCAGCAGUGGGGAAUAUUGCACAAUGGGGGAAACCCUGAUGCAGCGACGCCGCGUGGGGGAUGAAGGCCUUCGGGUUGGAAACUCCUUUCGCUAGGGACGAAGCUUUUUGUGACGGUACCUGGAGAAGAAGCACCGGCUAACUACGUG